ensembl:lincRNA
AGACUAGAUAAUUUAUAAAGAAAAAGAGGUUGAAUGGACUCACAGUUCCACAUGGCUGGGGAGGUCUCACAAUCAUGGCAGCAGGCAAGAGAGAAUGAGAGUCAAGUGAAAGGGGAAACCCCUUAUAAAAACAUCAGAUUCCGCGAGACUUAUUCACUACCACGAGAAUAAUAUGGGGGAAACUGCUCCCAUGAUUCAAUUAUCACUCACCACGUCCCUCCCACAACAUGCGCAACAUGCGGAGAUUAUGGGAGCUACAAUUCAAGAUGAGAUUUAGGUGGGGACACAGGCAAACCAUAUCAAGGAGUUACAGAGUUAAGAGUGGGAGGCAGUUGGAUGCCUGUGUUGGUAUCUGCAGUGCAGGGCUUGAAGCCUAGGCACCAAGAGGGGGCCAGUUAGAUUGGUUGAAAGGGACAUGGAGACCAGAGGGGCUUCUUUCCAGUUCCUUCUUUGUGGGGAACAUUGGGAUCAGAGAGGGUUCUAAGCUCAUUUCAGAAGCCCCAACAUACUUAAAUGAACAUGGCUAGAAAAACUGAAGAUUGAAUUUACUAAUCAUUCCUUGAUUCUCAUUUGUCUCAGGAUUAAGCUUUGGAGGGUAGAGAAUAACCCAGUUGAAAAUCUGCAAGCAAUGCUGUCCACAUCCCGAAUAGACUGGUCAAAAAGCCUUCAUCCCGUCAGUCACUGACAUCAACCUCAUCCAAAUCAGACUCCUAAAAACCCGGCCUAACUUAUGUGUCAUGCAAAGGAUGGCUCUUGGAAAAAUGCAAAGAAACCUAGAAGUCCACAAUCCUGCUCAGCCUUGUCUUCAGUUUCUGAUCUUGAACAGUCUUUCAAAGACCACAGCCAUGAGAAGGUCAACUAGAGCAUCUAAAGAAGCAAAAGUUAUGAGUCUCAAGUCUAUGGCUAAUUUACUUCAAAGCCUGAUCUUCAGAGAAAGAUACGAGAAUAAGGAAAGAUUUCUAAUGUGUUAUUCUAUUGUGUUUUAUCAUUUUGCACCUUUUUUUCUUGUUUCUCAUCUGUCUUACUCACUUUGGUCUAUAAGCUGUGUGAGAACAGAAAAUAUAACUAUCUUAGGGCAGGCGUGGCAGAUCACACCUGUAAUACCAGCACUUUGGGAGGCCAAGGCGGGCAGAUCACUUGAGGUCAGGAGUUCAAGACCAGCCUGGCCAACAUGGCAAAACCUCAUCUCAAUUAAAACUACAAAAAUUACCCGGGCAUCAUGGCACACACUUGUAAUCCCAGCUACUCAGGGGCUGAGGCAGGAGAAUUGCUUGAACCCGGGAGACAGAGGUUGCAGUGAGUUGAGAUCAUGCCACUGCACUCCAGCCUACAUGACAAAGUGAGACUCUGUCUCAAAUUAAAAAAAAAGAAAAGAAAAGAGAAAAUAUAACUAUUUUGCUCAUUAACGUGUACCCAGAAACUAGGUCUAGCCCAUAGUGGGCAGUCAGACAAUCUUACUAAAAUGACUGACUGGUCUAGGGGAGAAGGGAAUAGAAAGAAAAAUUAGUCCACUGAUAGAGUUUGGCUGUGUCCCCAGCCAAAUCUCACCUUGAAUUGUAGUUCCCAUAAUCCCCACAUGUUGUGGAAGGGACCUGCUAGGAGAUAAUUUAAUCAUGGGGUGAUUAUCCUAAUGGUGUUCUCCUGAUAGUGAGUUCUCACGGGAUCUGAUGGUUUUAUAAGGGGCUUUUCCCCCCUUUUGCUCAGCACUUCUCCUGCUGCCACCAUGUCCAGAAGGGCAUGUUUGCUUCCCCUUCCGCUAUGAUUGUAAGUUUACUGAGGCCUCCUAAGCUAUGCUGAACUGUACAUCAAUUAAACCUCUUUCCUUCAUAAAUUACCAAGUCUCAAAUAUGUCUUUAUUAGCAGCGUGAGAAAAGACUAACACAUCCACCCAUGGAAUAAGAGGGAGAUGAGUAAACUAGCUAGGAGGUUAGCGAGCACAAAUGCGGGAACCAUUCUGCGGCAUGGCCACUUGAGUAGCAAGAUAAUGCUGGGAGGGUGGAAGAAGGAGAACUUGGGCCUGGGAAACCAUUGAUGGCUGAGCACAGUGGCUCACAUCUGCAAUCCCAGCACUAUGGGAGGCUGAGGCAGGAGUAUGGAUUGAGGCCAGGAGUUUGAGACCAGCCUGGGCAACAUAUAGUGAGACCCACGACUCUACAAAAAAAUUUAAAAAUUAGUCAGGCAUGGUGGCAUGCACCUGUAGUCACAGCUACUCAGGGGACUGAGGCAGGAGGACCCCUUAAGCCCAGGAGUUUGAGACCGUAGUGAACUAGAGUCACGCCACUACCCUCAAGCCUGG